rnacentral:tRNA from 1 species
GGUAGCAUGGCCGAGCGGUCUAAGGCGCUGGUUUAAGGCAUCAGUCAUUUCGAAUGGCGUGGGUUCGAAUCCCACUGCUGCCA